rnacentral:rRNA from 1 species
GACGAACGCUGGCGGCGUGCUUAACACAUGCAAGUCGAACGGAACGGCCCUGCUUUUGUGGGGUGCUCGAGUGGCGAACGGGUGAGUAACACGUGAGUACCCUGCCCUUGACUUUGGGAUAACUUCAUGCCACUGGGGCUAAUACCGGAUAGGAGCUCCUGCUGCAUGGUGGGGGUUGGAAAGUUUCGGCGGUUGGGGAUGGACUCGCGGCGUAUCAGCUUGUUCGAUGGGUAGUGGCUUACCAAGGCCUUGAAGGGUAGCCGGGCUGGGCGGGGAACCUGCCAAGUUGGGACUGGAAUGCGACACAGACUCCAACCGGAGGGGGGGGUGGGGAAUGUAGCACAAUGGGCUGAAGGCUAGUGCAGCCACGCCGCGUGGGGGAAGACAGCCAGCGGGUUGUGUACCGCAUUCCCCUGUGACGAAGCGUUAAUGACAGUAAUGGGAGAAUAGGCACCGGCUAACUACGUG